rnacentral:rRNA from 1 species
UACGUAGGGUGCAAGCGUUAAUCGGAAUUACUGGGCGUAAAGCGUGCGCAGGCGGUUUUGUAAGUCUGUCGUGAAAUCCCCGGGCUCAACCUGGGAAUUGCGAUGGAGACUGCAAGGCUAGAAUCUGGCAGAGGGGGGUAGAAUUCCACGUGUAGCAGUGAAAUGCGUAGAGAUGUGGAGGAACACCGAUGGCGAAGGCAGCCCCCUGGGCCAAUACUGACGCUCAUGCACGAAAGCGUGGGGAGCAAACAGG